GACGAACGCUGGCGGCGUGCUUAACACAUGCAAGUCGAACGGAAAGGCCCUGCUUUUGUGGGGUGCUCGAGUGGCGAACGGGUGAGUAACACGUGAGUAACCUGCCCUUGACUUUGGGAUAACUUCAGGAAACUGGGGCUAAUACCGGAUAGGAGCUCCUGCUGCAUGGUGGGGGUUGGAAAGUUUCGGCGGUUGGGGAUGGACUCGCGGCUUAUCAGCUUGUUGGUGGGGUAGUGGCUUACCAAGGCUUUGACGGGUAGCCGGCCUGAGAGGGUGACCGGCCACAUUGGGACUGAGGUACGGCCGAGACUGCUACGGGAGGCAGCAGUGGGGAAUAUUGCACAAUGGGCGGAAGCCUGAUGCAGCAACGCCGCGUGCGGGAUAACGGCCUUCGGGUUGUAAACCGCUUUGGCCUGUAACGAAGCGUGAGUGGCGGUAAUGGGUAAAGAAGCCCCGGCUAACUACGUG
rnacentral:rRNA from 1 species